rnacentral:lncRNA from 1 species
GUAAGUAAAGUUAAUAUUUAAAGUCUCUUUUUAAUUACCAGUAGGUAAUAGCUUGUUCUAAAUUAAUGCUGAUUGACUAAAUACAUGACUGAAUGAUUGAUUGGGUCAUCAUUGAAUAGUAUGGAAAUUUUAAUUUGCUUUUAUAGAUGAAUGCUCAGUUUGUGGGUCUGUAUUUUAUAACUUAAAUUAAUAAAGAUAUUAACACUACUUCAGUCUUAAUAUCAAAUACUCUUGUGGUAGGUAUAGAAUGAACUAAGGCACUAUUUCAGUUUUGUCCUUCUGCCACAUCCCUACGAAAUAGAAAACCUACCCAAGAUUAUACAGUUAAUAAGUAGCAGAGCUGGAAUGUAAACACAGGUCUGUGUGCUGCUGGCCACUGCCAUCCAUACUGGCCACUGCAGUCCAUUUGUGCAAAAUAAUCAUUUUUUUGCACAAAUUUUAAGCAUUGCAUUCUUUGUUGUGAUUUUGGACAUUUUGCAAUCACCUUUGUCAGCCACAUUAGAGACAAGGUUUGAUCAGUCUACCAAAGUAGGUGUUUCCUGGUCGGCCUUAUCCCACAAUAUCCCAGCUUUUAACCUUGGAUACCUUCUCUAGAGGAAAAGGGGGAAGCAUACAACAACAUUUAAGUGUUCUCUUCCAAAAGGCAGGAAUGACAAAGUCUGGGAAUUGAAGUGAAAUAUUCUCCCCAGGGGAAUAAAAUACAGCAGGGUUUGUCAAAUUCAAUCCAACUCUGGCCGUGAAAUAGUAAGGAGAAACCAACAUCUAAAAAAAUAUAUAGAUUUCAGUAGAAAAUAGCAGGUUGCCUCACAUUUAAUAAAAGUACUGUUUUGCUAAACUUUUGCUUGUGUGUGUAUGUGUGUGUAUACACAUGCAUCCAUGUGUAAUUGGUAUGUAUGUGUACUAGCUUGUGGUAUAAAGUGUACUUUUAACGAUAGGUUGUGAUUUAAACAUUUUGAGGAAUACUGUAGCAUAGGAUAAUGAUUAUGAGUGAUGGAUCAGACUGCCAAAGUUUGAAUGUCAACUCUGACCCUUACUAGCUGCAUGGCCUAGGUAUAUUUUAACCUUUCAAGUUUCAGUUUUCUCCCCUAGGAAAAAAAUAACUCAUAAUGUGUGUAAAGUGUGCAACAGAGUGCCUGAUGCUUAGAAAGGACUCACUAAAUUAAUGUCAACUAUUGCAUUUUAAGUGAAGCAGUUUGGGUAAAAAGUUGAUGGCAAGCAAGAGCAAUGCUUUGCAUUAUGUCCCCAGAAUCAUUUUAAUUCCAGAUGCAUACAUUCAUCUGCUUGCUGGCUAUCCCCACAUACAUGUCUCAGAGGCAUGUCAAACACCACAUGCCCCAAACCAAGCUCAUCUUCCUGCAUUCCCUACUCAGCAAUGGUACCACCAGCUACCCAGUAACCCAGUAAAAACUGGAGAGUCACCCUGGAUUCCUCACCACUCAACCUAUAUAUGCAGUCAAGUCAUUAAUAAGUUCAGUGAUUUUCUAUCUCCUGAAUAGUUCUAAUUUCCUCCUCUGUUAUCCAUCCUCCUUAUAAUCCCUGUUCUUUCCAAUAUUGAAAUCACACCUUGUCUGCUAUUAAACUAAAAUCCUGCAACUCCUGAAUUCUAGUCUUCACUCCUACUGUUCUGCCCCUGGAAUACACCUUUUAGAACUUCUGCCAGACUGUCAUUUUCCAAAAACCAAAUCUGAUAAUUUUCUUGCUAACUUAAAACAUCUUUAGCAAAGCCUGCAAGGCUCUUCAUAAGCUGUGCAUCAUUUUUGGCUUUGCCACCAGCCACUCUUCCAUGGGUGGCCUUUAAUAGAGCAAACUAUACCAUUCCCAGAAGAAGCAGGCAUUUUCAUACCUCUUUGUGUGCAUGUGGUAGUUCCUCUGUUGGGAAUGACCUUCUGUGCCCAUCUACUAAUCAGUAUAGUGGAUUAGAGGAUGAAGAAGACAUUGAUUGAAACUUACAUUUAAAAUUAAAAAUUCAGUGUGCAUCAGAAGCACCUUAGCUGGUGGGUUAAAAUUCAAGUCCUUGGCCCCUACCUGUAAAUGUUGAUUCCAGGGCUUUUUACCUGCACCCCUGGUGAUUAUGAGAAACUGCACCAGAAGAAAGAUAAAAGUCCUGUACAAAUGCUAAUCCUUAACACACAUUCAGAAGUAGAGGUGACAACCUUGUCCUUGGGAAAUAUCUCAAUAGAAAUUCAAUUUGGAGCAUUUCCUAAGGAGAGUGGAUAAGUGCUGACUUAUUAGUAAAGAUAGGACUUUUUAAAUGAGCAGCAAUGACAAGAAGGAAAAAUACUGCUACUUAAUGUAAUUAUCUAUUAAUGUUAGUGCCUUAAAAUAUAAAAACUGCAUACUGCUAAAGCACAAUGAUAGCACUGGUCCGACACUGUUGUAGUGAGAUCUCUUUCCCCCUAGAAGAAAACCCCACGGGAGUCCUGCUACUGGGUAAGUUUAUAACUAGAGAAAAUCAGUUGCCUCACCUGCACACAACACAGAGGCCCAGUUGUUUCCACCGAGUCUGAAACAAAAGGCUUUCUCUGUAUUAUCCAUGGUAAGGAAAAAAAAAAAAAGAAGACAGAACAGAAGCUUCAAGUUAAGUAUCUGGGCGUUAGUGGCAGUUAAAACUUGGUGAGAAACCAAGAUCAGAGGCUGGCUUUUUAUAGGGAACAAAUUUCCGAAGCAUUUUUAUGGCUGAAAGUUUAUGCAAACCAGAUAACCCAAGGCUUACAGAUAAGGAUCUUAGAAAGGGUUAUGCUGUCUCUUUUGAGCUGUCCACCACCAGACCCACCCUGUUUACUCAGCCUAAUCAUUCAUUCAUUCAUUCAUUCCCUCUUUCAUUUAAUGAGCACAGACUGUGUGAUAUACAUAGUGCUAGGUAUACGUGGAAAGAAAGAUGAUGAAGCCUAAAUCUCACAUUCCACUGGGGGAGUUGACACAGCAGAUAUUAGGUUGAUGCAAAAGUAAUUGUGGGUUUUGCCAUUAAAAGCAAAAACUGCAAUUACUUUUGCACCAACCGAAUACAAGAUGUAGUGAUUUGUCAUUCAAACGAAAAUGGUUAUCAAAUAAAGUGAUGCUAUUCAUUCCUCAAAAAUUUGUAGGGCAUCUACUUUGUAUAAUGAAGUAUGUCUGGCAGUGGUUGUUAGCUGGGAAAAACAAAGGUUCAUUUUCUAAUAGUAAAGACAGCUAUUAAAUAAAUAAUCACCCAAUUAAUUAAUUCAUUCGAAGAAAUACUACAAAGCAGGUGCAGUGGAUGCUGUUAAAGGACAUAAGGAACCCCAGGAGUCCUGAUGUCAUUUUCUUUGUGUUGGGAAUGGUAUGUGAUUAGAAGAGACUUCCCUGAGGAAGCAAUAUCCAAAAUGAGAUAUGACAGAUAAAUAAAGAGUUAAUUGUCUUCAACAAUGGUAUUGAGAAAACUGUAUAUCCACAUGUAAAAUAAUGAAAUUAACCCUUAUCUUAUAUUGAAAAAUGGAUUACAGAUGUAAAAUGUAAGACCUGAAACUAUAAAACUCCUAGAAGAAAACAUAGGGGAAAAACUUUAUGACAUUGGACUUGGCAAUGAUUUUAUAGAUACAAUAUCAAAAGCACAGGCAAAAACAGUAAAAAUAAACAAGUGGGACUGUAUCAAACUAAAAUGCCUCUGCACAGCAAAGAAAACAAUCCACAGAGUGAAAAGGCAACCUACAGAAUGGGAAAAAGUAUUUGGAAAUCAUAUAUUUGAUAAGGAGUUAAUUUCCAAAAUAUAUAAGGAACUCUUACAACUCAAUGGCAACCCCCUCCAAUAACCUGAUUGUAAAAUGGGCUAAGGACCUGAAUAGACAUGUUCCCAGAAAAGACACAAAUAUCCAACAGGUAUAUGAAAAGAUGCUCAACAUCACUAAUCAUUAGGGAAAUGCAAAUUAAAACCACAAUGUGUUAUUACCUCACCUCUGUUAGAGUGGAUAUUAUCAAAAAAACAAAAGGUAACAAGUAUUGGUGAGGCUAUGGAAAAAAUGGAACCCUUGUACACUGCUGAUGGGAGUGUAAAAUGGUGUAACCACCAUGGAAAACAGUAUGGAGGUUCCUUGAAAAUUUAAAAAUGGAACUACCAUAUGAUCCAGCAAUGCCACUUCUGAGUAUUUACCCAGAAUAAUUAAAAUCAAAAUCUCAAAGAGGUAUUAGCACUAUUCACAAUAGCCAAGAUGUAGAAAGGAUCUAAAUGUCCCUUGACAGAUAAAUGGAGGAUAAAAGGGCAUAUACAUAAAAUGGAAUAUUAUUCAGCCUUAAAAAUAUGGAAUGCCUGCAAUAUACAACAAUAUGGAUGAAUCUUGAGGACAUUAUGCUAAACACAAUGAGCCAGUCACAGAAGGACAAAUACUGCCUGAUUCCACUUACAUGAGGUAUCUAAAAUAAUCCUACUCAUAGAAGCAAAUAAUAAAAUGGUGGUUUCCAGGGAUUAGAGGUAGGAGGAAAUGGGAAGUUUCUAAUCAAUGGGUAUACGAUUUCAGUUAUGAAAAAUGAAGUUCUAGAGAUCUGCUAUAUAACAUUGUGUCUGCAGAUAACAAUACCAUAUUAUACACUUAAAAAUGUGUUAAGAGGGUAGAGCUCAUGGCAAAUGUUCUCACCACAGUGAAAAAAACUGUGAUAAAGACUAAUAAUACAUCUUCAAACAUAACAACAAAAAAGAGUUAAUUAGGCCAAGUGGUGGUGCUCGGGGUAGGGGUGGUGUUGAGCAGCUUUCUAGGCAAAGAAACACCACGUUCAAGGCUUGGAAAAGGGAAGGUGCACAGACAGGACCAAGACUGUGCAGUGUGUAGGUGACUUUGCUGAGGACUUAGGUUUUCAGCUUCAGGGCAAUGAGAAACUACUGAAAGUUUUAAACAGAAGAGGCAUAAUUAAAUCUGUGUUCUUUAGAAAAGAUCAUUUUGGCUGCAGUGAGGAGAAUUUUUGGAAGGGUCCAAGAAUGUGCUGAUAAAUUAGAAGUUUCCUGCAAUGGUCCAGUUAAGAGGCAAUGGUAGCUUGUGCUAGGAUGGUGGAAUGCAGCUGGAGAGAAGCAGGAGGAUAAGAGAUACAUGGGGGAGAAAAAAUGCACAGGAUCUGGUGAUAGAUGAGAUUUGGGGGUUGAGUGAGAGAGAGGGGUCAAGGAUCACUGCCAUCACAACUGGAUGAAUGGUUGUGGUGUUCACUGAAAUGGGACACUAAUGAUGAAGACCAGGACUGGUUUUGGGUGGGAGUGGAAGGAGAGGAGCUCAUCUCAAGUUUUACUUUAUAUACAUUGAGUUUUCCUUUGAGACAUUUAUCUGGAGGUGUUAGUGGACAGUUCCAUAUCUAUAAGUCUGGGUCUUAGAGGGUAAAGAAUUAAGUUGAAAAUGAUGAGCAAAAAGAUGGCAAUUGAAACGAUAAUGGGGUUGUAUGUAUUACUCUAUGGAGAGAGCUUAGAGCAAAAACAGAGCCUGGCUUGAGCUUUGAGAAGCUCCAGCUUUUUAAGGCUGGAUAAAGGAGGAGACUGAGAUGGGACAGCGGAAAGAAAGAAGGAGAACCACAAGAUGGGUUGUCACCAGGUGACAAAGGAGGAUGUGUUUCAGGAAGGAAGGCGUGACCAACACUGCUGAGUUUCUCUGAAAGGUCAAAUCAUUAGGAUGACUGAAAACGAUCUACUGGAUUUGGAAAAGUGGAGGUUCUUCGUAACCCAGUGAAGAGUUGAUGGAGUUAUACUGGAGUGGUUUGAGGAAAGUUGUGACAAAAUGGAAACAGCAAAUGCACAAAACUUUUUCAAAAAGCUUGGCUACUAAAGGGGGUGGUUUAAGGUGGAGAUAUUUGAGCAUGUUUAAAUGCUGAUGGGAUGGAAUCCUCACUUCCAGGUAUAGGGGCAAACAGUUUAUGGUGUUGUCAGGAAAAGUGGGAAUGAUUGCCUGUGGAACCCAAGCUGGGUUGGAUUAGGUUAGUGGGUAGGAGCAAUGGCUGGAAAAAGUGAAUGGAAAAAUGUGAAGUGGAGAACUGAGUAGGAUUGGAGACUGUGGUGGGGUCCGAGGGGACAGCUGACCCGGCAGCAUCUCUGGUUGACAGUGUGUUGUUAGAAUCACUGAUUUCUGACAUGGUGGAAUUUCACAAGAUGCCGAGGUCCAGGGUGUGACUCUGGGAGAAGCUGAGGACAGGUAUUCCAGUUAGCCAAGACUAGGGUGUUGGAGAAGCCAACAUAUUGAUGCUGAAGUCACCCAGGGUUAUGGCAAGACUGGGUGGAGAAGGUCUAUAAGCUGGUGCCAAAGUCCUCAAUAAUUGAAAGGUGGUAAAUGACAGUGAUGAAAAGGACAAAAGUUCAAUAUCUCUAAAUGGCCCAACUCUUCAAAUAGGAGCAGAGAAACAGAUUUUGUUGUGGUGGUAGCUGUUUUUUUAAAUAAAAGGAUGGGGGAAAACAGCUCUGAAAAUGGUUUUAGGGAAAGAAAGGAUACCUAGCUGUGUCCUGACUUGGGAGCCGAAGAGUGAAAUAAUAAGCAACCUCCAUAUGAGAGGGGUUUGGAUGAAGCAGUCACUCAGGGUAAGGGUAGGUUUUAGUUGAUAGACAGAGUUGGAUAGAACUUGUGAAAAGAACUGAAGAUAUAAGGGAAACGUGUUCCUGAAAGCCAAGUAAAAUGGGGUGGAGAAUGGAAGUGGCAAGGAUGUGCAGAUCUGAAAGUCUGUCAGAGAAAUAGAUGAAAAUAAAGAAUGAGUCAGGAGUGUGAAGAAUGGGACUAAUGCUUAGGGUUACAAAGGAGGUAGAUGGUAAGGUUUUGUAAAGGAGGUCUUAGUUGAGCUGAGAUCAAGUAGAAGUUCUGCUGAUGGGCAGAGGAGGAGAAAAGCAUCCAGGUAGAAGAAUCAGCAGGCACAAAGAUGCGGAGGCCCAGGAGGCAUUUGGCUUGAGGCCAGUGCAGUUUGCUUCAGCAUGGCUGCUCUGCAGAAUCCCAGAGGACCAGUGGUAAAGGAGGAGGUCUUUCCCUGAGACCAUUUUCAUCAGGCCUGGGCAGGCAUGAUGCAGGCAGGCCCAGGUCAAGGAGAGCUUUGGUUUCCAGCUGGGGAGCCUUGUGGCUUAGGGAUGGGCUUUUAAGCAGUGGCAAGAUGUGAUUGUCACUGUUCCAGAUGGGUGGGUCUCUUCGCUUUCCUCAUGCCCCACCGUGCUGUGCUCACAUGGUUGCUGUGAUGUCCAACCCUCUGGGUAAAUUUUACUCAUCCCUGAGGCCUAACUCGAGUCUUGCCCCUGGAGUAAAGCCCUUCAUGACUACUGUAGCCCACACCUUCCUCCUUUCCUCCAAAUGUUUUUAUUUUUCCAGUCAGAAUCACACUUCAAAAGAAAGACAGUAGAAAAAGCCGUCAUUCACGGUUUGUGUGAGCAAGCAUCCUCCCCACCUAGCUAGAGAGAAAACUGGUAGGACAUAAAAUUACUGUAACUAAGGGAGAAUAACCGGUCUCUCUCAUUUAAAAAGAUAACAGAACAAAUUGAGUUACUUUUAGAACAAUGGAAAAUAAAGGAUUUCCUUCUUUUUUCUGUUCCACUGCCAAAAAUGAGUGCCUUCUGGCUCAAAUAUAAAUAAGAGUUCUGUUUGAAAGUCCUGGAUUAAUACUGUCUCAGUUAAUGUCUGGAUGUAUGGCCUUAAGCAAGUUACUCAACUUCUUAGAACCUCAAUUUUCUCAUCUGUAAAAUGGGCUAAUAAUACUAAUUCCACAAGGUCACCAGAAGAUCAUACAAAGUCCUUUGUGUAUUUAUGCAUCAUAUUAAUUGUAUGCCUUACUAUGUGCCAGGCAUUGUACUAGGAGCUAAGCUGUGGCAUGAACAAGAUAGGCACAGUCUUGCCCUCCUGGAGCUUACAGACCAGAGGGAGAGAGAGACAAAUAGUUUCACAAUUAAUUGGCAGUAUCAUAGUGUAGAAAGCCUGGCAACAAUGUCUGGUUCAGAAUACACCUCUAAUACCCAUUAGUCCCCUUCUGUUCUUAAGUUCUCUCAGUCAAAGUAAUACAACAAGUAAUAACAAUAAUAUAACAAGUAAUAUAACAAGCUGUUUGCUAACACACAUUAAUUACUUAACUAAUUUUCUGGGGCUCUCACACUGUAAGUGGGGACUAUCUCAGGCUCACACAAAUAUAGAUGAUGCACUGGGGAAACUAUGGCAAGGUGACUAAAUUCAUGUCCUACCAAGGCUCCUAAGUCAAAGGAGACCCCAUAGAAAACGCCAUAUUUCAACCCCAAUACGUUUGGCUUACUAGAGCAGAAAGGGCAACACAGCAAGCUGGAGGAUGAGCCAUUGUUUCAGGACUUAGGCUGUGAAGGAAAAACAGCAGCCUCAAGUGGAGCCUUGGAAUGUGGCUACUGAAUGGAGAGGCCUAACCCACUCCAUAACCUGUCCAUCCACUGAAGUAUGAAGGGCAGGGGAGGGCCCUUUCCCCUGUUAAUGGGCUCAAUUCAUUUCUAGUGAAAGAAAGCCUGGGUUUCCCUAAGGUUUACUCAUGGGUGACAACAUUAUUUAAAGAUCUCUGGGCACAAUGCCUUUCCUAACUCCCCAGAGCCUGAGACAAAAGAGUUGUGCUGAGGGGCUGGCCCUGCUCAUUGUGAGGUGGCAGCUGUGUGUCCCCAAUGCUUGAGAGAGAUUUCCUCCCCCUGCCCUCCCUCACCUCCCAGGGCCUGCUCCAUGCACUCUGCACCACUGGGGAUAACGGCUGAGCUCGAAGGCCCUUAAUAGAAAAGCUUCCUCUUUUAUUCCUUUAGCAGCAGUGGGGUUGGGAAGAAAUCUCAUUGGCCUGGGAAUCCAGGCAGCCUUAUUUUGGGUGCAGACUGGAGAAUCAACUGCCCUUUCCUUUCUUGGUAAACUUGCUGCCACCUGCACAGCCCUAGAGCUCUAAAAAUAUUUGUCAGAUUUACUGCAAGUGUUUGUUUACAAGUCUGUCUCCCCAUUUAAACUCUUAGGUUUCCUCAGGGCAGGUACUAUGUUUCAUUUAUUUUUACCUUAGUGCCUGGCUUGUAGUAGGAGCUAAAUAAAUGGGGGUAGGGUUGGGGGAGGGAGAGGGAGAAAGAAAGAGAGAGAAUAUAUGAAUGAAUGAAUGAAUGAUGAAUGAAUGAAUGAAUAUCAGUCCCCAACUUGAUUAGGAGAUAGCAAUCAAGGACAUUAAGACUCUAGCAUAUCCUCUGAGAUUCCACAGAGGUGUCAAGUGGGGAGUGGGAAAAGGCAUGUCAGGAAACAGAGGCCUGUCUUACUUCCCCAACUGUGGUUUAAUCCAGCUUUCAUGAUACUCAUCUGUCUUAGACAUUGGUCUUCCUAUUUUGUAUGUUUUAAUAAAAGAUUCUGUGGCCAAGAGAACUAUUUGAAAAAAUUAUUGGGCUAGAUUUUUUUCCCCCACUUAGGUCUCUUCCAACUGGGAUGUUUUCUGUGAUGGGCAAGUACUUGCAUGGCUUCUGCUUUUGACCACUAUUGGAAAACGUUUCUGCAUCUUAUUCUGAUGAAGAAUGACAUAAAUAAGGGAUCUUACUUGUAAAUAUCCACAACAUGUUCUCCUUGGUCCAGAGCUCCAACAGCCAAGCUGCUGCUACUUGGCACCUGCAUGUCCUGGUGUUCUUAAGUGUGUGCUGUUCCACAUCACAGUGAUGGGGUGUGGGACUUUUGAGGGAAGAGACUUGGCCCACGGAGGACUAAAGCGUUGCCACAGAUGAGUUGGUCAUAGACAGUAUCAAAGGGGAGUUUGUUACUCAAGUUUGCAAAGGACAUUAUUAGACAACCCAACAAUCCCACAGCAGCGUGGCCAUGCAGAGACUUCCAUGACUUCAUCUAUCUACUUACGUUGCACCUAUCUACUCAGCAUCUACUAUGUGGGGCUAACUGUGGCACUGAAGAUACGGACAUGAGAAAGAGAGAGUGCCUUUGUUAAGGAGCUCACAUCCCAGUGAGAAAGCAAGGUUAAGAGAAUGAUACAAUUCAAGAUAAGAACAGACACAGAAAUGUGUCACGUGCUAUGGGACUGCAGAGAAAGGAGAGAAUAGAUCUCCCUGCGGGCUGGGAGGAGCAGUGGGGAAAGCUUCACAGAAAAGUACCUUUUCAAUUAGGCUUUAACUUUGGACAGUUGCUUUCAAAGCUGGAGGCAGGAGAAGGGAAGUAGGACAGGCAUGGAGGCACCAGCCACAGAGCACCUCAAGGCAGAGGAGAUUUGGGUGCUGUGCCACCUGGGAGGUGAGGCUGAUAGGACAGCUGUGCAUCAGGCAGGGAAGCUGGAGGGGUAGGUCAGACCAGAAUGACAUGGGUCCUGAAAGCUUUGUUAAUUACGUUACUCUGGAGGCAGUGGGGAGCCACUGAAGGUUUUAAAGCAUGGCCUCCUGUGCCAUGCUAAGAAACAGCUAAUUUUACUGAAGGCAAUGGCAAAGGACAUCAAGCAGGCAAGGAUUGUUCCAAUUUUCCCUUUGAUGAGCCCACUAGCACUAUGAGGCAGUAAUAAGGCUGCUGCCAUAGUUCACGUGAAGGAAGAAGAUGCUCUACCAGUGCAAAUGGAGUAGAGGUGAAAACAUAGAUUCAAGGUACAUUUCAGAGGGAGAGAAAGCAAGAUACUAUUCCUUCUUGUGUGUUGGGCGAUGGGGGGAAGGCAGAAGACAUGCAAGCCUGGAUGUUUCAAACCUAGUGAGUGGGCUAGAGCUGCUUCCAUUUAUGUUCCUAAGCACUGCUUUGGCAUUUAUACUGGAAUCCUAAGGGUCAAUAAGAUAUUUUUCCUUUUGUAGGGGUCAGAUUAGCUGCCAAAGCACUGGAGGAGUUGGAGGAGUUGGAGGAGUUGCUGACAUCAGCCCUUAGAGUUUGGAAUAUAGCAAUACUGCUUUAUCUGGAUUUUCCACAGGCCCCUGUUAUGGGCUGAAUUGGGUCCUCCCAAAAUUCAUGAGAUGAAGUGCUUGCCCCUAGUACCUCACAAUAUGAUUGUAUUUAAAGAUAAGUCAUUUAAAAAGGCAGUGGCAUUAAAAUGGGGUUGUUAGGGUGGACCCAAAUCCAAUAUGAUGGGUGUCAUAGCAAGAGGAGAUUAGAACACAGACAACACAGACAGAGGGACAAGGAUCAUGUGAGGUCACAGCAGGAAGGUGGCCAUCUGUAAGCGAAGGAGAGAGGUUUCAGGAGAAACCAAACCUGUCAGUAUCUUGAUCUUGGAGAUUGUAUUACUCUGUUCUCAUGCUGCUAAUAAAGAUAUACCCAAGACUGGGCAAUUUACAAAAUAAAGAGGUUUAAUGGACUUACAGUUCCACAUGGCUGGGGAGGCCUCACAAGGCAAAAGGCAAGGAGGAGCAAGUCGCAUUUUAUGUGGAUGGCAACAGGCAAACAGAGUUUCUGUGGGGAAACUCCCCUUUUUUAAAAUCAUCAGAUCUCGUGAGACUUAUUUGCUUUCAUGAGAACAGCAUGGGAAAGACCUGCUCCUGUGACUCAAUUACCUCCCACCGAGUCUCUCCCACAACACGUGGGAAUUCAAGAUGAGAUUUGGGUGGGGACACAGCCAAACCAUAUCAGACAUCUAGAGUCCAGAACUGUGAGAAAAUAAAUUUCUAUUGUUUAAGCCACCUAGUCUGCAGUGUUUUGUUAUGGGAGCCUGAGCAAACUAAUACACUUCCUAUGAAGAAAAUCUCACGUGAAGUCCAAGCCUGUCUGGUCUAAGAGAAAAAAGUCACCACCUGAGAACUGGGACCACAUUCUUUGUUCUAAUUGUUCCAGCUAGUCCAGCUUCUCCACUAACCUACUUAAUCAUUACAGACAUGGGCACUGUGACAAUGAUGGCCAGG